AUUGAACGCUGGCGGCAUGCCUUACACAUGCAAGUCGAACGGCAGCACGGGAGCAAUCCUGGUGGCGAGUGGCGAACGGGUGAGUAAUACAUCGGAACGUGCCCAGUAGUGGGGGAUAACCCGGCGAAAGCCGGACUAAUACCGCAUACGACCUACGGGUGAAAGCAGGGGAUCGCAAGACCUUGCGCUAUUGGAGCGGCCGAUGUCAGAUUAGCUUGUUGGGGGGUAAAAGCCUACCAAGGCAACGAUCUGUAGCUGGUCUGAGAGGACGACCAGCCACACUGGGACUGAGACACGGCCCAGACUCCUACGGGAGGCAGCAGUGGGGAAUUUUGGACAAUGGGCGCAAGCCUGAUCCAGCCAUGCCGCGUGCGGGAAG
rnacentral:rRNA from 1 species